rnacentral:tRNA from 1 species
UGGCUCAGUUGGUAGAGCAUGGUGUUUGCAAUGCCAGGGUUGUGGGUUCCAUUCCCAC